UACGGGGGGGGCAAGCGGUUGUUCGGAAUUACUGGGCGUAAAGGGCUCGUAGGCGGCCAACUAAGUCGGAUGUGAAAUCCCCAGGCUUAACCUGGGAACUGCAUCCGAUACUGGAUGGCUUGAAUCCGGGAGAGGGAUGCAGAAUUCCAGGUGUAGCGGUGAAAUGCGUAGAUAUCUGGAGGAAUACCGGUGGCGAAGGCGGCAUCCUGGACCGGCAUUGACGCUGAGGAGCGAAAGCUAGGGGAGCAAACGGGG
rnacentral:rRNA from 1 species